UUAACUCAAAUUUGUGUGGAGUUGUAACGUUUGCCUACAUCUGCCGCUAGGGGCGCUGUUCCAACUGCAGACAAAUUUGAGUUA
rfam:Bombyx mori DNA, contig: Bm_scaf2_contig2317, strain: p50T/Dazao, build 2, whole genome shotgun sequence.